rfam:Hydrogenophilales bacterium RIFOXYD1_FTLL_62_11 rifoxyd1_full_scaffold_1441, whole genome shotgun sequence.
CGGGGUGUAGCGCAGCCCGGUAGCGCGCCUGCUUUGGGAGCAGGAUGUCAGGAGUUCGAAUCCCCUCACCCCGA